CUAGCAAGUGAUACAACUAACCCUCUGUCUGUUAUAAUUAACCUAACCCAUGAGGUAAGUUUUAAGAUGUGUAUGGUGCUUGUACAAAAACAUGAUUAAUCUAAGUCCAUUUUUUUAAAAGUAUUUAGCCACAACCAAAAUGUGUCUAUACGUAUCUAUACCUAUACAUAUAUAUCUGAAACUUUCAUCUGCAUUUUUGUAGCCAAUAAGGCUACAAACUGAUCACAAAUGUGCCAGUAAAAACCAUGAAAUAUAGUCAAAAAAACAGACAAAAUGCUGCAGCAGGCACAGGUUUGGAGAGGGGACCACUAACCAGAACAAUGCAGGAGUUGUGAGUAAUUUAGUGACUGAAGAUUUGGAGAAACAGAAACCAAAUGGAGACAGAGAACAACAACAUUGAAAACAGUGCAAAUGAAGAAGAGGAAAAGACGGCGGACUAGUGCCCUUGGCCACACCUGGAAGAAUUCUUCACAUACAGGGGGAGAAAAAGAGACAGCGUGAAACUGCAAUGCAAACUUUGUUUGCCGCAUACAGUGAUAUCGACUCACAAGAAUUUAGCCUCUAAUCUCAAAAAACACAUUGAGAGAAAACAUCCAUGCAAAAUCCAACAUCAACAAAAGACCACAGCUGCACCAAACAAGCUCUCAGCAAGUAAGCAAGCCAGGUUACCAGAUGUGAUGUUGGCAUCUGCAAGCAAACAUGUCCCACAAGCAACUGUUGACAAGCUUGUCAUCAGUUUCGUAUGUGAAGGUCUACAGCCAUUUGCAGUGGUAGAACAGCCAGCUUUCAAAGAAUUAGUUUACCACAUUGCAAACUCAAGCAAAAGUCAUCUCCAGACCCACUGUCCGUACUAGAAUCUGUGAAGUUGCUGGUCACAUGAAGAAGACUAUGAUUGCAGAACUGGGUAAAGUCAAAUUUGUUGCUACCACCACUGAUUGUUGGUCAGCUCAUCAGAAAAGUUCGGUGUCACGUGCUAUUGGAUAGAAGAAGAGUCCCUGGAAAGAAGAUUUGUGGCACUAGCUUGCAAAAGAUUGAGAGGGUCUCACACAUUUGACAUGCUUGCUGGUGCUCUUGAUGAUGUCCAUUGUCAAUACAAGAUUAGAGGUAAAGUUUUAAGAACCACAAUUGAUAGUGGAUCCAAGUUCAUCAAAGCUUUCAAUAUGUUUGGGGCACAGAAUGAUGCUGAGGUAGAUGAAGAUGAAGCUGACCUAGAUGCUUUUGAUCUAAUCGACCAUAUUGAAUACGUUGAUGCAAGUGUGAUCCUUGCUAAAGACUCUGGUCUGGAAUAUCAACUGUCCUGACAGUACCUCUACCCGAAUACAGAUUUUCAGUACUCUUUCUACCACUGUUCAUUUGUGCACAACCCUUAAUUGCCGAGGAGGGUUCUGACCCAAAUUAAAAUUCACUUUUGAAACCUC